rnacentral:rRNA from 1 species
UACAGAGGGUGCAAGCGUUGUUCGGAAUUAUUGGGCGUAAAGGGCGCGUAGGCGGUGCGGUAAGUCUGUAGUGAAAUCUCUGGGCUCAACUCAGAGUCUGCUGCAGAAACUGCCGUGCUUGAGUGUGGGAGAGGUGAGUGGAAUUCCUGGUGUAGCGGUGAAAUGCGCAGAUAUCAGGAGGAACACCGGUGGCGAAGGCGGCGACCUGGGCCAAUAUUGACGCUGAGGUGCGAAAGCGUGGGGAGCAAACAGG